rnacentral:ncRNA from 1 species
GUUGGACUACUCCAUUCCAAUAGCCCAACGGACCAGAAAAAAGGAGGAAAAUGUAAGCCGCCGGCCGGCGGUGCGGCAGUGUGGAGACCUGCCGUAAUCCCGUCAGGGUUUCGCUCUCUGUCGGGGAGGUACACGCGCAGAGGCAAGUGUACUACGGCCAGAGCCCAUG